CAGUAGCCGCGGUAAUACGAAGGGUGCAAGCGUUAAUCGGAAUUACUGGGCGUAAAGCGUGCGUAGGCGGUUUGUUAAGUCUGUUGUGAAAUCCCCGGGCUCAACCUGGGAAUGGCAAUGGAUACUGGCAAGCUAGAGUGUGUCAGAGGAUGGUGGAAUUCCCGGUGUAGCGGUGAAAUGCGUAGAGAUCGGGAGGAACAUCAGUGGCGAAGGCGGCCAUCUGGGACAACACUGACGCUGAAGCACGAAAGCGUGGGGAGCAAACAGGAUUAGAUACCCCCGUAGUCCCUGUCUCUUAUAC
rnacentral:rRNA from 1 species